rnacentral:rRNA from 1 species
AUACGGAGGGUGCGAGCGUUAAUCGGAAUUACUGGGCGUAAAGGGCGCGUAGGCGGCUAAAUCAGUCAGAUGUGAAAGCCCUGGGCUUAACCUGGGAAUGGCAUUUGAUACUGUUUAGCUAGAGUUUGGUAGAGGGGAGUGGAAUUUCCGGUGUAGCGGUGAAAUGCGUAGAGAUCGGAAGGAACAUCAGUGGCGAAGGCGGCUCUCUGGACUAAAACUGACGCUGAGGUGCGAAAGCGUGGGUAGCAAACAGGAUUAGAAACCCCGGUAGUCC